GGCAAUCUCUCCGUUCUCGUGCACGCUGGAGGUGCGGCGUUGUAGCCUGUCCAUGGCGCGGCGAUGCUAGAUUGCUGCUAGGAUUCUCUGCUGAUCAAUCCGAGAAGGCGGAGAAGGAGAAGAACAAGAAGCACGGGGAUCACUCUGCUAAAGACUAAGUCAAGAACAAGGAGCAGUCGGCUCGGCGCGGCUUGUGAUGGCGGUGCUGGUGAAGCGAGCAAUUUCGGCCAAAGGUGAGCGUCUAGAGUGUCGUUGAGUGCUUUCAUGGAUAUUCUCACCCUGGCAACCAGAACUAUAGAAGAAUUUGGCGCAGUGGCUUGUCUUUAUUGCUGGAACUCCUCCUUCCUGUGCUGCGUGUGUGUGUGGAGGAUUUGUGGCCAGCCGGCCACUCCGACACGUUAGCGAACUUACUUAUAUCUCGACCGCCAGUGUUUUCUCAUUUCCUUCCUGCGAGCUAUGGCAGGAGGUAGCGAUUCAAGAUCUCUAGAGUUAACUCCUACAUGGCCAUGUGUACGUUGUUCGUUCGUGACGAUCUUUCAUUCAGUGGCUAUCCAGAACAAAGAGGAAACCCCUCUAUGGUUUGUUUGUUCAAUCAGGCUCUGUUGCAAUGUUGUUUCAGAGUUGAUGCUUCUUCCUCAUCACCAUAACUGCGUCUUUCCUUUUUUAAUAAGCAACGCAUGCCUUGUCACCUCCCAUCCUCCGGGAAAGGGGCUGAUCACUUGUUCGUAAGCAAUCGGCGGCGGGAAGUCGCUUCACUAGAAAACACUUGCUCGGAG
rnacentral:lncRNA from 1 species